AGUAUGAUGGAGGGAGUACUGACUGUGCGAUUCGGUUCUGUAAAGAUGUGGAAACGAGAUCACAAUCGGGAUAUGUUGGUUUUGGCAAAUUUGAGGGCUUCAACUAUUUUGUUGCCGGUUCAGAACGUUAUAAUUUUGUUCAAGUGUGUUAUACCUUUAAGUUCAUUUCUGAUUCACACAUGUAG